CUACGGGAUGCAGCAGUGAGGAAUAUUGCACAAUGGGGGGAACCCUGAUGCAGCAACGCCGCGUGGAGGAUGACGCAUUUCGGUGUGUAAACUCCUUAUAUGUCAAGAAAAUGACGGUAGCAUAUGAAUAAGCACCGGCUAACUCCGUGCCAGCAGCCGCGGUAAUACGGAGGGUGCAAGCGUUACUCGGAAUCACUGGGCGUAAAGGACGCGUAGGCGGGUUGGAAAGUCAGGUGUGAAAUCCUACAGCUUAACUGUAGAACUGCACUUGAAACUUCUAAUCUAGAGUAUGGGAGGGGGGGAUGGAAUUAGUGGUGUAGGGGUAAAAUCCGUAGAUAUCACUAGGAAUACCUAAAGCGAAGGCGAUCUCCUGGAACAUUACUGACGCUAAGGCGUGAAAGCGUGGGGAGCAAACAGGAUUAGAUACCCUAGUAGUC
rnacentral:rRNA from 1 species